rfam:Photobacterium ganghwense strain DSM 22954 contig0010, whole genome shotgun sequence.
CCUGUUAUGCAACUAACAGUAGCCUAAGGGUAGUGCGUCGCUGGUAACGGCGGGGUUCGAAGCUCCCUGACAAUGUACCCCCAUUUCGAUGGUUAAUUCUCACUGUGAGGUGAGGAUGGAGAUAUUGCCAAUAGCAGGUGAUUGAGGGG